UGACAGAUGAAAACGUCAUUUUAAAGUGAUUUUUCGCUAACGUUAUAAGUUGUUGAAAGCUCGUCAGAUGCAAUCUCAUAUGUCAUAUGAUGCAUUGAUAUUCAAAUGUGGUGGCAUUAUUUGUCAGGUGUAAUUGCCAUAGGUAAUUGCAUCUGAGGAAUUCCCAACCAGUCGGAACGUUAAUUCGAGCUCCAAGCAGUUAUUCUGUGGUUGGAGCUUUUAUAUAAUAUAUAAACCCAAUCCAACUGUAUUCUAGUGGUUCGGUUCUUAGCUGAAUAAUUCCAAAAUAGCUCCAACAGAUGGCGCCACAUGUGUUCAAUUUUUAGUACGAAGAUUUUAUUUAGAGAGUUGCAUUUCUACGAAGCUAUUUUCUAUGACUGGGAUCGAAAACACAAAGUGAAGUACUUUGACAAAAAAAUGGUUUUCAUUAAUUUCAUCUGAUGUUGACUUUAGACUGCGUAUGGACUUUGGACCAAGUAUGGAUCAGGUGUCCAGGACUUUAACAUUUUCACCAAUUACUUUAGAUAUAAUUGAUUUGAGUACAGAAUACUCCGCAUAUAAUGGUCGACAUUUAUAUUUAGCUGAGACACAAUUUUAACCAAGUCUUCGUACUGGAUUGAUUAUUCAGUGUCAAUUUUUUCAACAAGUUAAAUCCAUUAGUGUUUUCGUUAAAGUCAAACCUUGAUUCAAGAUACUUGAUUGCGUCUCUGUACCAGGAAUCUGCUUUAUUACAGAAAUCCGUAAUGUCACAAUUUUGACAAUUAAUCAAAGAUGACAUACAUAACCUUAUAUCUCAUAAUAAGAUAUAUCAAAUCUUCAUCUCAAAGUCCGUUGAGUAAACAUCCUGUAUAAGUUUAUCCAACUCCAUAUGAACGCUGUUGUUAUAAACGUAUCCCCCCGCAAAGGCCUUGCUGUGACGUCAUUGGAAGAAUUGACAUUUCUAUGUUUUUAUUUAUACAGUGU